GACGAACGCUGGCGGCGUGCUUAACACAUGCAAGUCGAACGGUAAGGCUCCAGCUUGCUGGGGUACACGAGUGGCGAACGGGUGAGUAACACGUGGGUGACCUGCCCUGCACUUCGGGAUAAGCCUGGGAAACUGGGUCUAAUACCGGAUAGGACCGCACCGUGAGGGUGUGGUGGAAAGUUUUUUCGGUGUGGGAUGGGCCCGUGGCCUAUCAGCUUGUUGGUGGGGUAAUGGCCUACCAAGGCGGCGACGGGUAGCCGGCCUGAGAGGGUGGACGGCCACAUUGGGACUGAGACACGGCCCAGACUCCUACGGGAGGCAGCAGUGGGGAAUAUUGCACAAUGGGCGGAAGCCUGAUGCAGCGACGCCGCGUGGGGGAUGACGGCCUUCGGGUUGUAAACUCCUUUCACCAUCGACGAAGGGUUUCUGACGGUAGAUGGAGAAGAAGCACCGGCUAACUACGUG
rnacentral:rRNA from 1 species